CUCCUCCGCUCACUCCCUCUACUAUCUCUCCAGCGCCAUCGCCUCAGCUGGCAAGCUCGCUCUCUCUCUCUCUCUAAAACCCUCUCCGUCUCUCUCUGGGAUUUCAGUCUAUGCCACACAACAAUUUCUCAUGGACACAAUGGAGCCUCCCCAGUCGCCAAACCUAGCCCCGGCAAGCCUCCAAGGAGAAAAACGCCUGCACCUUCAGAUCUAACUAUACGGCCUUGGAUUCGAAGCCUUCGCCGGCAGCUAAGUUGAAGAGUCUGUUGCCGCCACAGCCGCCGCCGUCAAAUCCUCUCAAACAGAAGCUUGGGAAAGACUGGGUAUUCACAUUUUUUCAACCUUUCAAGAGAGACAACUCUCAGGCCAAGCGGUCUAGCAUUUUCGAACUCUCGCGCCUGUUGCGGCAUCGCGGUCCUGAUUGGAGCGGGUUGCAUUGCCAUGGGGAUUGUUACCUUGCUCAUUAGCGAUUGGUUAUUGUGGACCCUGCCUCAGGAGAUCAACCACUCUGCAACAAGGACAAGACCGUUAUUAUCACGGUUAAUGGUGAGAUAUAUAACCACAAGCAGUUGAGAGAAACAUUAAAGGGUCAUCAAUUCUGAACUGGCAGUGGCUGUGAAGUGAUAGCGCAUCUUGAUCAAUUUGGUUUGCUUCAGAAAUGAAAGCUAUAAGUGAUGAUUGUGAAAGAUUGAUAUCUUUUCCUCCUGGGCAUUUAUACUCUAGCAAACAAGGACGGCUGAAAAGGUGGUACAAUCCACAAUGGUUUUUGGAGAAGAUACCAUUGACUCCUUACGAUCCCAUUGUUUUACGCGAUUAGUUGCAACCAUCACGCCAAAAUUCUCAUGGAAAAACUUCAGGAGCAUACAAAUGGUGACUGAUGUAUUAUAUUUCCUUUUCAAUGAAGAUUUGAACCUCCGAUCCCACUGUUAUUUAGAAAAAAUUUUGUACCAGUUCUUUAGCACAACCUUUAAGUAGCACACUGGCACACUAUGUUACUUCUUUUCAAAUGCAGGCCUUGAUGCUAGGAUAGGAAUGUCUUGUAAGCUCAAUGUCUUUUUGUCUUUCCCUUUUCCUUUCCUUUCUUUCCUUCUGUUUUUCUUGUUAUAGCUAAUUGUUCAUUUCAUUUUAUUUGCAGGUGAAAACAGAAGAACAAAUGGGAUAUAAGUACGGCGAGGCUUGCUUUCGUUUCUGUUUCUAGUAUUAUGUACCAUUUAGACUUAAAUUUUUGUUUUAUUUCGACAUGUUAUGCAUAGAAAUACUUGGGAUGUUGUUAUGUACUUUGAGCAUCAACAUUAAUCAAAAUUUAUUUACUUA